rnacentral:rRNA from 1 species
UACGCAGGGUGCAAGCGUUGUCCGGAAUUAUUGGGCGUAAAGAGCUCGUAGGCGGUUCGUCACGUCGGCUGUGAAAUUCCGAGGCUCAACCUCGGGUCUGCAGUCGAUACGGGCGGACUGGAGUACUGCAGGGGAGACUGGAAUUCCUGGUGUAGCGGUGAAAUGCGCAGAUAUCAGGAGGAACACCGGUGGCGAAGGCGGGUCUCUGGGCAGUAACUGACGCUGAGGAGCGAAAGCGUGGGGAGCGAACAGG